AGCGAACGCUGGCGGCAGGCCUAACACAUGCAAGUCGAGCGCCGUAGCAAUACGGAGCGGCAGACGGGAGAGUAACACGUGGGAACGUACCCUUUGGUUCGGAACAACCCAGGGAAACUUGGGCUAAUACCGAAUAAGCCCUCACGGGGAAAGAUUUAUCGCCGAAGGAUCGGCCCGCGUCUGAUUAGCUAGUUGGUGAGGUAAUGGCCCACCAAGGCGACGAUCGGUAGCUGGUCUGAGAGGAUGAUCAGCCUCACUGGGACUGAGACACGGCCCAGACUCCUACGGGAGGCAGCAGUGGGGAAUAUUGGACAAUGGGCGCAAGCCUGAUCCAGCCAUGCCGCGUGGGUGAUGAAGGCCCUAGGGUUGUAAAGCCCUUUCGGCGGGAAGAUAAUGACGGUACCCGCAGAAGAAGCCCCGGCUAACUUCGUGCCAGCCGCCGCCGUAA
rnacentral:rRNA from 1 species